UACGUAGGGGGCAAGCGUUGUCCGGAAUCAUUGGGCGUAAAGCGCGUGUAGGCGGUCCGGUAAGUCCGCUGUGAAAGUCGGGGGCUCAACCCUCGGAUGCCGGUGGAUACUGUCGGGCUUGAGUACGGAAGAGGCGAGUGGAAUUCCUGGUGUAGCGGUGAAAUGCGUAGAUAUCAGGAGGAACACCAGUGGCGAAGGCGGCUUCCUGGACACCAACUGACGCUGAGACGCGAAAGCGUGGGGAGCAAACAGG
rnacentral:rRNA from 1 species